CAGCACCAAUCUAAGUCGAAGAAGUGUUCUACUUAGGGACAACUUCACUUGUCAGUAUUGCCGUGCUCGCGAUAACUUGACCAUCGACCAUGUUCUUCCAGUUGCAAGAGGGGAAUGAACAUGGGAGAAUCUGGUAAGAUGGCCUAUUAAACAAACAGAUGGUUGACUCUCUAUUUGUGGAUCAACUCCAUUGACUGUUGUUUGAGCCAUAGGUGACUGCUUGUGCCAAGUGCAAUUCGAAGAAAGGUCGAAAAACGCCGGAGGAAGCAAACAUGACGUUGAUUAAGGUCCCCAAGGCUCCCAAGGAUUACGACAUACUUGCGAUACCUCUAACAAGUGCGGCGAUACAGAUGUUUAGGACGAGAAACGGGACACCGGAAGAAUGGCCACAGUAUCUCUCCUCUUCCAUGGAGCCUUAACCUGUCGUACAUUCUUAAAUCUUCAUACGUAUCAGAUAAGUCCCCCAUUUCUACCCUGCAUUC